ensembl:piRNA 21ur-8790 ncRNA
UACUAUAGAUGCAAGAUAAAC